CACGUAGGGCGCAAGCGUUGUCCGGAAUUAUUGGGCGUAAAGAGCUCGUAGGCGGUCUGUUGCGUCCGCUGUGAAAACUCGGGGCUUAACCCCGAGCCUGCAGUGGAUACGGGCAGACUAGAGGUAGGUAGGGGAGAAUGGAAUUCCCGGUGUAGCGGUGAAAUGCGCAGAUAUCGGGAAGAACACCAGUGGCGAAGGCGGCUCUCUGGGACGGUACUGACGCUGAGACGCGAAAGCGUGGGGAGCAAACAGG
rnacentral:rRNA from 1 species